rnacentral:rRNA from 1 species
UACGUAGGGUGCAAGCGUUGUCCGGAAUUAUUGGGCGUAAAGAGCUCGUAGGCGGUCUGUCGCGUCUGCUGUGAAAACUCGGGGCUCAACCCCGGGCCUGCAGUGGGUACGGGCAGACUAGAGUGCGGUAGGGGAGACUGGAAUUCCUGGUGUAGCGGUGAAAUGCGCAGAUAUCAGGAGGAACACCGGUGGCGAAGGCGGGUCUCUGGGCCGUAACUGACGCUGAGGAGCGAAAGCAUGGGUAGCGAACAGG